rnacentral:lncRNA from 1 species
AAUGCAUCCCUGGAUCAUAGCAGACUCUGCCUAUAGAGGCCUGGGGUCCCUUUGGCAGCACUUUUCUCAAGAAAGUAGAGUCGUGGACAACCAACUGCACAGGUUGGGAGGCUUUGAAGAACAAGCUGCCAUGAAUCCUGCAGCUACAAGGAAAUGAACUCUAUUAACUUGAGUGAGCUUAAAACUAGAUCCUUCCCCAGUCAAGCCUCCAGGUGAGAAUUCAAUCCUGGCUGGCACCUGGAUUGCAGCUUACAGAAGACCCAGCUAAGGCCAUGUCUGGACUUUAAAUCCACAGGAACUGCAAGAUGGUAUCAGAAGUGGGACCUGCAGUGGGGCAUCUAGCAACCCCCAGGAGCAUUGAGUGACCAGGCUUGGGACCCACCGGGCGCAGGGUGUCCAUUGUUCUCUCGAAGCAACUGAGAAUUGUGGAUAUUCUUCAUUAUUCCAUCAUCAUCUCAAACCUCUUGGGUAUAGUGUUUGACUACUACUGUGACCAUAAAUUCCAAUAAAACCUAGGAAAAAUGAAACCACUACAUUAACUGAAAGGGAAGGAUUUGACAGCUUCUUUUGGGCAUAUCAGAAUCGCCAGCAUCACUACUCUUGCACUGUGCGGCCAUUAUUAAGUGAAAUAAGGAUUACUUGAACACAAGCACUGCAAUGCCGCUACAGUCAAUGUGAUAACCCAGCUGGUGACUAAGUGACCAAGGACGGGGAGUAUCUACAGCGGGGAGACUCUGGAAAAAGGGAGGAUUCACAUCCAGUGCCACUGGGGCAGGGCAGAAUGAGAGUUCAUCAUGCUACAAAGAAUGGCACAGAAUAUACGACUUGUGAGUGGAUUAUCUCUGGAAUUUUCUGUUGACUACAUUUGUACUACAGUUGUAUGUGGGUAACAAACUGUGGAAAGUGAAACUUCGGGUAAGGGGGAGGCUACCGUAGAUAGCCCAGUAUUUCUUAUUUUGUGGAUUUGUUUAUCUUUCUGCUCACAUCCUUUUCCUUCUGCAUUACCAUUUUAGUAAAAAUAGAUAGCAUCCA